UUCAGUCCAUCAUUGCGAGCGUGCGAUUGCGCUUCGCUUAAAGUCGUGCUCUCAUUUUUCGAGGUGCGACAGAUAGUACAGAGAUUUUGGAUGGCGUCUGUAGAAGUUGAUCUACCACGUUAUACUCACUUCUUUUGAUGAGCCUCAGCAUCUCAUCACAGUCUUCUUUCGCAUUGCCACUCUGGCCAACAGAGACAGAAGUUCUCAACGUAGAGCCAGGUUUGGCAACAAGUGCCGGAUUCGAAGCAUUCACAAUAAUCCCAACCAGACAUUCAGCAUA
rnacentral:lncRNA from 1 species